rnacentral:rRNA from 1 species
GAUGAACGCUAGCGGCAGGCCUAACACAUGCAAGUCGAGGGGCAGCACAUAAAGUGGUUUACUACUUUUGGUGGCGACCGGCGGACGGGUGCGUAACGCGUAUGCAACCUGCCUCCAACAGGGGGAUAACGGAGAGAAAUUUCCACUAAUACCCCAUAAUAUCAGAAUCGGCAUCGGUUUUGGUUGAAAACUCCGGUGGUUGGAGAUGGGCAUGCGUUGUAUUAGAUAGUUGGUGAGGUAACAGCUCACCAAGUCAACGAUACAUAGGGAGACUGAGAGGAUGGCCACCCACACCGGUACUGAGACACGGACCAGACUCCUCCGGGAGGCAGCAGUGAGGAAUAUUGGUCAAUGGGGGCAACCCUGAACCAGCCAUGCCGCGUGCAGGAAGACGGCUCUAUGAGUUGUAAACUGCUUUUACAAGGGGAUAAAUCGGUGUACGUGUACACCGUUGAAGGUACCUUGGGAAUAAGGAUCGGCUAACUCCGUGCCAGCCGCCGCCGUAA